rnacentral:RNase_P_RNA from 1 species
AUUACAGGCCGGACUAUCGCACUUCCGCAAGGGAGGGAGGAAAGUCCGGACAGCACAGAGUAUUGCACCGGUGAAGAGCCGGGUCCGGAACCGUAGCAAUACGGGACCCCGGAACAGACAGUGCCACAGAGAAUAGCUACUUUAUCGGCCGGGGCUUCAGCGCGGGAGGGCAGCGACCGGAAUACAUCCGGUCCCAGGCCCGCUUCUGCUGAAGCUCCGGUGGACAAAGCAAAGGUGAAAACGUGAGGUAAGAGCUCACGGCUUUUUAUGGUAACAUAGAUCGCGGGUAAACCUUGCAUGCUGAAAUGCCACAUAUACCAUCGCCUGAGGGUUACUCGCCCGAUGAUGGAGGGUAGGCAGAUUGAUCCGGCAGGGUAACCUGACGGACAGAUAAAUGAUAGUCCACGACAGAAUCCGGCUUACAGGCCUGUAAUAUUU